rnacentral:ncRNA from 1 species
AUGUCCCUUCAACGGGGAGCUGGGAUUCACCCGGCUGAGAGGAUGGCUCCGCUGCCAUCGACCCUUAGAACCUGAUCCGGAUAAUGCCGGCGAAGGGAGGAGUCGAAGCCGUUCU